UCUUGAUAUUUAUAGCACAGUGGAUCCACUCCAACCCAUUCCGAACUUGGUAGUUAAACUCUGUAGCGACGAUGAUACUUAAAGGGAAACCUUUUGGGAAACUAGUUCAAUAUCAAGG
rnacentral:rRNA from 1 species